CACCAGGGUUCGGAGAGAGCGCGGGUGAGCAGCAGCCCCAGGGUCUGAAAAGAAGGGCAGCCCCUGUGGAAGGUUCUAGAAGUGGUGAUGGAUGAUUCCCGCGGGAAUGUUCGAGAACUGGUGUCUGCUCCUGUAGGAAUGAUGCUCCCCGUUACUCCUUAUCACAGGGCUCCAGUUGGUGGAAACCAAUGUCACCAAUGCUUCUUCUGCCUUCAUUUCCAUAAGCUACUCAUUUACAAGAACUGUACUUCUAACUUCACAUUCGUGCUUGAAUCUGAACAGCCUUUGGAAAGUGCAAGACUUGAACUACCCUUGAAGUCUACAGGUUUCUAUUUCACUCAUUGCUAUAAUUGCGAGUAUUGCAAUGACGGAGGACUUGACGAUGUAGAAAUAGACUUGAGACAUCCUGUAAUUGAAGAGAAGCUACAAGAUGGGACUGUAUGUUUUAUGGUGCCAGAGCUUUGCCUCUGUAAUAGCCAGCAAUACACUGCAUGAGAACCACUUUUUGUGGGAGUCUGUUGGUCUUCCCCUUUUCCUCAGUUCAGUUUUGUUUCCUCUUGUCCCCUUGAGACAUCACUGAG
ensembl:lncRNA